rnacentral:rRNA from 1 species
AACGAACGCUGGCGGCGUGCCUAACACAUGCAAGUCGUGCGAGAAAGUUCCUUCGGGAGCGAGUAAAGCGGCGCACGGGUGAGUAACACGUAGGUAACCUGCCCCCCAGUCUGGAACAACUAGAGGAAACUCUAGCUAAUGCCGGAUGAGACCACGAUCCCUUCGGGGUUGGCGGCCAAAGAAUGGCCUCUACUUGUAAGCUAUCGCUGAGGGAUGGGCCUGCGGGCCAUUAGCUUGUUGGUGAGGUAACGGCUCACCAAGGCUGUGAUGGCUAGCUGGUCUGAGAGGAUGACCAGCCACACUGGGGACUGAGACACGGCCCAGACUCCUACGGGAGGCAGCAGUGGGGAAUAUUGCGCAAUGGCGAAAGCUGACGCAGCGACGCCGCGUGGU